UACGUAGGGGGCAAGCGUUGUCCGGAUUUAUUGGGCGUAAAGAGCGUGUAGGCGGCCAUACAGGUCAGCUGUGAAAACUCGAGGCUCAACCUCGAGACGUCGGUUGAAACCGUAUGGCUAGAGUCCGGAAGAGGAGAGUGGAAUUCCCGGUGUAGCGGUGAAAUGCGCAGAUAUCGGGAAGAACACCCGUGGCGAAGGCGGCUCUCUGGGACGGUACUGACGCUGAGACGCGAAAGCAUGGGUAGCGAACAGG
rnacentral:rRNA from 1 species